AGACCAUGAUGAGGACAACAUCGAAGUACUUCUUUGUAUUUUUCCUAAGCUUCGUACAAUGAUUCAAAAUCUAGCUGCAAGAAUUAUGUAAUGUCAUUCCUCAUUUU
rnacentral:snoRNA from 1 species